UGCUUCAGUCCCGGGUUGGAUCCCUGGGUUUGGAAGAUUCCCUGGAGGAAGGCAUGCCAAGCCACACUAGUAUUCCUGCCUGGAAAAUCCCAUGGAUGGAAAAGCCUGGUCUCCAUGUCAGUACUGGGGUCCCUAUGGAUGCCACACCUUCCGCUCUUCUAGCUGUUUCGAUUGUUUGCUAUAUAAAAGCUGUUCUGUUGGAUCUCAGUGCUUCUUCAGGAGGAAUCAUUCUACACAUAGGUAUAAAUUCUCUGUGUCCGUAGAGGAGGUGAGUUCAAGAUCUUCCAUCUUGUACUGUGAGCCUGAAAUGCUUGUUUUUAUAUUUUGUA
ensembl:lncRNA